GACGAGCCACACGAACGUUAUUCGGAAUUACUGGGCUUAAAGGGUGCGUAGGCGGCGCGGCAAGUUGGGUGUGAAAUCCCUCGGCUCAACCGAGGAACUGCGCCCAAAACUGCCGUGCUCGAGGAAGAUAGAGGUAAGCGGAACUUACGGUGGAGCGGUGAAAUGCGUUGAUAUCGUAAGGAACACCUGUGGCGAAAGCGGCUUACUGGGUCUUUUCUGACGCUGAUGCACGAAAGCUAGGGGAGCAAACGGG
rnacentral:ncRNA from 2 species